rnacentral:rRNA from 1 species
GCGCGAAAACUUUACAAUGCUGGCAACAGCGAUAAGGGAACCUCGAGUGCCAGGUUACAAAUCUGGCUGUCGUGAUGCCUAAAAAGCAUUGCAUAGCAAGGGCCGGGCAAGACCGGUGCCAGCC